UACGUAGGGUGCGAGCGUUGUCCGGAUUUAUUGGGCGUAAAGGGCUCGUAGGCGGCGUGUCGCGUCGGGAGUGAAAGACCGGGGCUUAACCCCGGUUCUGCUUCCGGUACGGGCAUGCUGGAGUGUGGCAGGGGAGACUGGAAGUUCCUGGUGGUAGCGGUGGAAUGCGCAGAUAUCAGGAGGAACACCGGUGGCGAAGGCGGAUCUCUGGGCCAUUACUGACGCUGAGGAGCGAAAGCGUGGGGAGCGAACAGG
rnacentral:rRNA from 1 species